GAUGAACGCUAGCGGCAGGCAUAAUACAUGCAAGUCGGACGGGAUCUAUGGCUUCGGCUUUAGUGAGAGUGGCGGACGGGUGCGUAACGCGUGAGCAACCUACCCAUGCCAGGGGGACAGCCCGGGGAAACUCGGGUUAAUCCCGCAUGUUGCGUUCGGGUCGCAUGGCCUUUACGCUAAACAAUUUCGGGGCAUGGAUGGGCUCGCGUGGCAUUAGCUAGUCGGCGGGGUAACGGCCCACCGAGGCGAUGAUGCCUAGGGGCCCUGAGAGGGGGAUCCCCCACACCGGUACUGAGACACGGACCGGACUCCUACGGGAGGCAGCAGUAGGGAAUAUUGGUCAAUGGGCGGAAGCCUGAACCAGCCAUGCCGCGUGCGGGACGAAGGCCCUACGGGUCGUAAACCGCUUUUCUUCGGGAACAGUCCCCGCCACGAGUGGCGGGUCGAGGGUACCGUUGGAAUAAGGAUCGGCUAACUCCGUGCCAGCAGCCGCGGUAAUACGGAGGGUCCGAGCGUUAUCCGGAUUCAUUGGGUUUAAAGGGUGCGCAGGCGGCCUAUUAAGCAGGGGGUGAAAUAUGGCGGCUCAACCGCCUUACUGCCUCCUGAACUGUUGGGCUUGGAUGCCGUUGGGGGCGGCGGAAUGGGGCAAGUAGCGGUGAAAUGUAUAGAUAUGCCCCGGAACACCGAUCGCGGAGGCAGCUGCCCAAACGGUCAUCGACGCUGAUGCACGAAAGCGUGGGGAUCGAACAGGAUUAGAUACCCUGGUAGUCCACGCCGUAAACGAUGAUGGCUCGGUGCCGGCGACAGACUGUCGGUGCCCAAGCGAAAGCGUUAAGCCAUCCACCUGGGGAGUACGGCCGCAAGGCUGAAACUCAAAGGAAUUGACGGGGGCCCGCACAAGCGGAGGAGCAUGUGGUUUAAUUCGAUGAUACGCGAGGAACCUUACCCGGGCUUGAAAGUUAGCGACGGGGCCGGAGACGGUCCUUCCCUUUUGGGCGCGAAACUAGGUGCUGCAUGGCUGUCGUCAGCUCGUGUCGUGAGAUGUUGGGUUAAGUCCCGCAACGAGCGCAACCCUUGUCCUCAGUUGCCAGCACGUCAUGGUGGGAACUCUGGGGAGACCGCCGGCGACAAGCCGGAGGAAGGUGGGGAUGACGUCAAGUCAUCAUGGCCCUUACGGCCAGGGCUACACACGUACUACAAUGGGACGGACAGAGGGUUGCGAGCCUGCGAAGGUGAGCCAAUCCCAGAAACCGUCUCUCAGUCCGGAUCGGAGUCUGCAACUCGACUCCGUGAAGUCGGAAUCGCUAGUAAUCGCAGAUCAGCAUUGCUGCGGUGAAUACGUUCCCGGGCCUUGUACACACCGCCCGUCACACCAUGGGAGUGGGUUGCUCCAGAAGCAGGUAGCCUAACCGCAAGGAGGGCGCUUGCCACGGAGUGAUUCAUGACUGGGGUG
rnacentral:rRNA from 1 species